UUUACCUACGGGGGGCAGCAGUGGGGAAUAUUGGACAAUGGGGGGAACCCUGAUCCAGCGACGCCGCGUGGGUGAAGGAGCGUUUCGGCGCGUAAAGCCCUAUCGGCAGGGAAGAAGAUGACGGUACCUGACCAAGAAGCCCCGGCUAACUACGUGCCAGCAGCCGCGAUAAUACGUAGGGGGCAAGCGUUAUCCGGAUUUACUGGGUGUAAAGGGGGCGCAGACGGCAAUGCAAGCCAGGAGUGAAAGCCCGGGGCCCAACCCCGGGACUGCUCUUGGAACUGCAU
rnacentral:rRNA from 1 species